AACGCGAAGAACCUUACCAGGGCUUGACAUCCCGCUAACGAAGUAGAGAUACGUUAGGUGCCCUUCGGGGAAAGCGGAGACAGGUGGUGCAUGGUUGUCGUCAGCUCGUGUCGUGAGAUGUUGGGUUAAGUCCCGCAACGAGCGCAACCCCUAUUGUUAGUUGCUACGCAAGAGCACUCUAGCGAGACUGCCGUUGACAAAACGGAGGAAGGUGGGGACGACGUCAAAUCAUCAUGCCCCUUAUGUCCUGGGCUACACACGUGCUACAAUGGUCGGUACAAUGAGAAGCAAAGCAGCGAUGUGGAGCAAACCACCAAAACCGAUCCCAGUUCGGAUUGCAGGCUGCAACUCGCCUGCAUGAAGUCGGAGUUGCUAGUAAUCGCGGAUCAGCAUGCCGCGGUGAAUGCGUUCCCGGGUCUUGUACACACCG
rnacentral:rRNA from 1 species